GGCUCUGUAGCUUAGUUGGAAAAGCGCUGAGGGUCGUGAGUUCAAAUCUCACCUAAGCUG
rnacentral:tRNA from 1 species